rnacentral:lncRNA from 1 species
UAUCCUCUGAACCAAACAGGAUAAUUUGAGGAGCAAGGAACUUCUCACAUUUGAGGAAGACCUGGAAAAGCUGAUGAAUUUUCAGGUGAAAACAACUUUCUGUAAAUUUCUUUUUGAUAAUAAGAAUACCAAAUGUCAAAAAGGACAGGACCGCAGUUACAAUCAAUAAAUAGAAAGAAAUUUAUGUCUGGUUCCCUACCAGCUGACACUGGAUGGUUAUGUCCUGCAGUUCUCUGUCCUUCUAUGGCACUGAGCAUUUUGUCUCUAAACUCCCUGUUGAGAAACACUGGAAAUCUAUAUCAUUCAGAGGAACACCUGAGACCUACAUCCUGCACAAACAGUGUGUGUUUAUAGACUCUGAAAUUCCAUUAUCAGAUGUUAUACAAAAAUGGUUACUAGAAACAUUACAAUAGCUCAGAUCCUGUGUCAAAAGAGACUGAAGAAAGCAUGAAGCUAGUAUUCUUGAAGCCUUUCCUUUCCAUGCUACAUAUUUGGAUAAAAACAGCGGACAAGAGGAAACCACUGAAUUCACAGGGUAGUGAAUGAUUUUCUUUGGUCUUUCCUCUUCCUGUGAGGGAUGGUGGGACUUGACUUGACUUGCUAUGCUUUGCCUUGCUUUGCAUGGCAAGAAGAAUUUUAUUUCUGUUCCUAUGUGAUCAUGCGGGGGAUCAAUGUGUGGAAGAAAACAAAGGAUGUGCCAGUAAUUGGUGGUCUAACAGCAGAGCCAGUAUUUAGGCUGUGUAUGUGAAUACUUGGUCUAUGUUUUUACAAUUGCUGCAUUCUUUAAAAUAUCUUCUGAUAAAAAUGAAGCUGGCCACAACUUCGCUUUAUUUGCAGAAGGAAUUAAAAGCGUGUAACUCCAAGAAAGCAACCUUUAAAUAUCAUUCUUUUCUAAUUUAUUGUCUGAUAAAUGCCACUAGGAAAGGAGGAAAAAAUUGAUUUUCCCAGAAUUUUUAGAGUAAUAUUCCUUUUCAGCUGAGAUUAACUGUAAAAGACUGCUAAAGGUUAGUAUACUCGAAGCUGUGAGGACACAUAAUAAUCCACAAAUUAAUCUCAGUAUCCAACAGCUGUCAUAUAAAAAACCGUUCAUAGAGCUAAACAAAACAACAGAUUCUCUGGCUCUUUAAGCAUUAAAGCAAAGAGUUAGCUUAAUGGCAUCCUAUCAGGCUCAUGGGUACCCUUGCCUGCAGGGUCUACUUCAUCAUUUUUUCAGAGAUUAAGAUGAAAAGAAGACAUUUGUUAUUCAAACAGAAUUGUUCCCUGUCUGAGCUACUCCUC